rnacentral:rRNA from 1 species
GCGGAGGAAAAGAAACUAACAAGGAUUCCCCUAGUAACUGCGAGUGAACCGGGAAAAGCUCAAAUUUUGAAUCUGGCGGUCCAAGGGCCGUCCGAGUUGUAAUCUAGAGAAGCGUCUUCCGCGCUGGACCGUGUAUAAGUUUCCUGGAAUGGAACGUCGUAGAGGGUGACAAUCCCGUCUUUGACACGGACUCCCAGUGCUAUGUGAUGCGCUCUCGACGAGUCGAGUUGUUUGGGAAUGCAGCUCAAAUAGGGUGGUAAAUUCCAUCUAAAGCUAAAUACAGGCGAGAGACCGAUAGCGAACAAGUACCGUGAGGGAAAGAUGAAAAGAACUUUGGAAAGAGAGUUAAACAGUACGUGAAAUUGCUGAAAGGGAAACGCUUGAUGUCAGUCGCAUCGUCCGGGGAUCAGCCUCGCUCUUUUGCUCGGCGUACUUCCUGGUCGAUGGGUCAGCAUCGGUUUCGACCGUCGGAAAAUGGCUCGAGGAACGUGGCACUCUUCGGGGUGUGUUAUAGCCUCGAGUCGAAUACGACGGUCGGGACCGAGGAACUCAGCACGACCUUCGGGUUCGGGGCUUCGGCUCACGUUCGCGUGCUUAGGAUGCUGGCAUAAUGGCCUUAAGCGACCCGU